AGCAGUUAAGAAGAUUCUUCGGAUGAAACUUGAUUGACUGAGCGGCGGACGGGUGAGUAACGCGUGGGUGACAUGCCCCAUACCGGGGGAUAACAGCUGGAAACGGCUGCUAAUACCGCAUAAGCGCACAGAGCUGCAUGGCUCAGUGUGAAAAACUCCGGUGGUAUGGGAUGGGCCCGCGUCUGAUUAGGCAGUUGGCGGGGUAACGGCCCACCAAACCGACGAUCAGUAGCCGGCCUGAGAGGGCGACCGGCCACAUUGGGACUGAGACACGGCCCAAACUCCUACGGGAGGCAGCAGUGGGGAAUAUUGCACAAUGGGGGAAACCCUGAUGCAGCGACGCCGCGUGAGCGAAGAAGUAUUUCGGUAUGUAAAGCUCUAUCAGCAGGGAAGAUAAUGACGGUACCUGACUAAGAAGCCCCGGCUAACUACGUGCCAGCAGCCGCGGUAAUACGUAGGGGGCAAGCGUUAUCCGGAUUUACUGGGUGUAAAGGGAGCGUAGACGGCAAGGCAAGUCUGAUGUGAAAACCCAGGGCUUAACCCUGGGACUGCAUUGGAAACUGUCUGGCUCGAGUGCCGGAGAGGUAAGCGGAAUUCCUAGUGUAGCGGUGAAAUGCGUAGAUAUUAGGAAGAACACCAGUGGCGAAGGCGGCUUACUGGACGGUAACUGACGUUGAGGCUCGAAAGCGUGGGGAGCAAACAGGAUUAG
rnacentral:rRNA from 1 species